AUACAUUUCAAUCAGGACUGACUAAUCAGAACACUAGUGUGUUACUGUAUAUGUACUAAUCAGAAUACUAUAUAUGUAUGAGUUUUCUUUCUUGAUCCCAGUACUGAAGAUAAUGUGUGUGUGAAUGUGGUCAAGAGUUUAGAACAAUGACGGUCUGUUCCUUGGUACAAAUGAAUGAACUAUAUCUCCAGACUGACUAGGAUGCUUAUCUACACUGACUGACCUUGGCUCUUGGCGAGGAGGGAAGGCUUGAGAGCUAUAGAGCCUUUCUACCAGUGUCAAGAAGAGACGGAACAUUUAGAAAACGCUGACGUCAUUUUCAGUUUAUAACCUGUGGUAAAAUGUGUGUGUACUCAGUACUCUCUUGAAUAAAGGCUGUUACUUGACUUUAAGACCGGGCUCUGUCCAUUCCUAUAAAAUAAGGGUCUUACAAAUUCUUAUGAAAUGACAAAGUGUUUAAUUUUAAUUGGGAGUUAAAACAGAGGAAUUAAAUUCCUUCAACAAAUUCAGACUGCAGAAAUUAUUACAUAUUCAAGCAUUAGACCUUUCACUAAAGGCUUUAGUCAUACAAAAGUUAUACUUCAAUCCGAACUGGUUCUCUAGCAGAUUAGUAAGAAUGUCUCCCAUGUUCAAGAAUGGCCUGUUGCUGUCACCUGGGGGAAUAGAGUGUGGAAGUGUAUGAUGUAUAGUGUUUGUCUAUGUCCCUACACUAACCUUGUCCCCAUAUCAUAACAUACUGACCUAACAUCAUUGCUCCACAGUUAGUGCCAUGGCCUGUAAUCUCUCUCACAAGAAUGGAACUCAUCAAUGCUAUGGGGCUUUGGGAGAAUCUUUGUCCAUACAGCUGGCUGCAGACAGCAGUAAUGAAGAAAUAACAUUUAAAAAAGAUCUUACUCGUAUUCUGCACUUCAAAACUGGAGAAGACUGGAGACCUAAAUUGCAUCAGGAUUGUGUGCAUCGCUCUGAGAUCUUUAACAAUGGAACAUUCAGACUGGACAGAGUUAUAGAAGAAGACAGUGGAGAUUACCAAUUGGAAAUACAUAAUUCGGAGGGAAUACUGUUGCGCAAAGUCAACAUGCUACUUGAGAUACAAGCCCCGGUGUCAGAGCCAGUGUUGUCUCACCUCUGUCUGCCUCAUGGAGAGACCGUGGUCACAUGCUCCUCAGAGGGAGAUGGUCUUCAGUACAGCUGGACCCUGAAUGGCCAGAAUCUGACCAGGAGUGUAGCCUCUGACCACCACCAGAACAGUGUCAUCAUACUGAAGAGUGAUGUGACAGGAACUCUGACCUGUAUGGUUCAGAAUAAAGUCAGCAGCAGCAACUCCACUAUUAAUCUACUGGCCUGCCAAAGUAAUGUCCGAACAGUUUCCUUCCCACAAUGUAAGAAUUCAAAUGAACUUGACUUGCCCGAUAAGAUCAUUUUAUUGAUUGGUUACUGUUGACACUGUUGAUUAAUCCUACUCUCAGAAUUCUGUUUGUCUCUUCCCAGUUUUCUCUUCCCAGAUUCGUUUUGUAAUUGUGACAGUAGGUAUAGCUCUAGCUGUUGGAACUCUUGUCCUCCUUCUUGCGGUGUUUGUUGGCGUAAACCGUCUCUGUGGGAAACUGAGAUUUGGACAUAAUACUUCAGGUAAAAUUAUGUCAUGUUUGCUUCAUGGCCAGAAUCGACACCUGCUGUUUUAUUGGUCUUCUAAACAGUCUUUCCCCAGGUUGCUCUAAUGAUGAGGGUGCUGCUGUUGUAUACACUGAAGUAUUCAAUAAAAGAAAGAGAGAAGUCAACCAGAAACCUACAGAGAUGGUGGAGUAUGGAGAGAUCAAAAUGGCUGCCAGUGUUAAUGAGGAAGAAAGCCCCAAGAAUCAGGGGGACAUGGAAAUGACAACCAACCAGACAUAUGACACAUCUUUUCUGACAACUUUCGGCAGGACUUAGUAGAAAACAAAAAUGUAAGAGUGUAUUACUCCCUUGUAUAUGUUUGUGUUGUCAUUUGAGUCUUUGAAAAUGUGUAUUGCUUCAAAUCUUGAACUUUUAACCCUUUCAACCAUACCUCUUAACCAAAUGGAGGGACGUUGGUCUGAAACAACAGAUGACUGUUAAAUAUCUUAAUUUUAUGAUUGUGUGAUGUUUUCAGUGUUUGGGAUCUUUUGCAAUAUUGUGUGUUUGCCAUCCAUUCUCCUUCAUUUGCUGCUGACUUGGGAUUGUACUUUAUCUGGAAAUGUCAGUGUUAAAUGCUAAACGUAGGAGAGAAACAUUGAUGAACAUGAUAGCUUAACUUCCUUGCAAUAUCAUACUUUUUAAACUUGAAAAGCUAUUUUACAAGGAUGACAUCUUAUCAGAUGUAAAUAUAAUUGAAUAAAUACAUUUGUUUGAUAAAUAAUCCUCCUCAGUUUCUCUUUGAGUAACAUCAUACACAAACUGCAGCAAAAGUACUCCCACAUGAAACAAGUAAACAGCAGAUGGUUAUGUAUUGAAAUAGAAAAACACUCACAUGAGUAUGUACUGUAAAUAUCCCCAGCAUUCAUGCCACACCUCACCAUAACUCUUCCUUUAGAUGUGUUUACUCAGGUUACAGUAAAGUUAGUAGCAGAAGUGCUUCUUUCAGGAAAGAGUAAAAGGCAUCUUGACCUCUGUUCAGACCUGAUGCCCUUCUCAAAACCUAUGUAUAGCUUACUCAUACGAUUGAGGCCCAGUUUAAUUGCUUAGAUACCUGUCCGCAAAUAGAAACAUCUCAGUUGUAACCAAACUAGCAAGAUGUGUUUUUCAGUAGUCAGUCCUUGCAGUGCAUGUUCUCAGCAAACAGAGCUGUGGUAAAUGUGGCUAUUGGUGAGUCUGUCGUGAAAACAGUUUGAUGUGUUUCAUCAGAAUAAGGGAAGUUAAACUAGACCUAGAGUGUAAAAUGCAUCUCCUGGCCAGCAGGUAAUUAUUAUUAUUACUAACAAUAUGG
rnacentral:lncRNA from 13 species